GAUGAACGCUGGCGGCGUGCCUAACGCAUGCAAGUCGAACGAAGCUUGACGGAUGAUUUCUUCGGAAUGAAACCAGAUAUGACUUAGUGGCGGACGGGUGAGUAACACGUGAGCAACCUGCCUUUCAGAGGGGGAUAACGGCUGGAAACGGUCGCUAAUACCGCAUGAAGUGUUCGGAUGGCAUCAUCUGAACAUCAAAGAUUUAUCGCUGAAAGAUGGGCUCGCGUCUGAUUAGAUAGUUGGUGGGGUAACGGCCUACCAAGUCGACGAUCAGUAGCCGGACUGAGAGGUUGAACGGCCACAUUGGGACUGAGAUACGGCCCAGACUCCUACGGAGGCAGCAGUGGGAAUAUUGCACAAUGGGGGAAACCCUGAUGCAGCAACGCCGCGUGAAGGAUGACGGUUUUCGGAUUGUAAACUUCUUUCUUAGUGACGAAGACAGUGACGGUAGCUAAGGAAUAAGCAUCGGCUAACUACGUGCC
rnacentral:rRNA from 1 species